AGUAUGAAUCGAAGAAGAGAAUUUCAGCAGAGGAGGCCAUGAAACAUGCAUACUUCAGAAGUCUUGGAACAAGAAUACACACUUUGCCUGAAAGUGUUUCAAUAUUCAGUCUAAAAGAGAUUCAGUUGCAAAAAGACCCUGGCUUUCGAAAUUCCACUUACCCAGAGACAGGACAUGGGAAGAACAGAAGGCAGAGCAUGCUUUUUUAAAGUGGGCGAUGCAGAGUCAAGCCCAAGCCUAUCCUAUCGAUCAAGGACUCGGAUCUGAAGGCAGUGCUCUCUGUUGGUGGACUUGGAAUUGCAGUUUGUCUACACUGUCCUCUUCACAGUGGAGUCUUUUUAUUUCCAACCUGCAGAUUAUGUUUUUAUAUUUGUUGUCACAGUGUGACAAUUUUUUGUACAGUUGGUUUUAAGGUCUCCUCUGCCACUAGAGCCAGUAGGUUACAGCUGUUGAUGUAACUGUAGCUGCAAUUUUUGUGCAGGACUGAGAAACACAGUGCAUUAUUUAUUGCGGAAUCAUUGCUGCUAAAUAACUACUGUCUGUAUAGUUAACACAACAGUUCCAUGCCUGAAGAAGUUGCAAUGGCUUUAUAAUAUGUGAAUGCAUCUGUUUCUCUUCAUAAAAUGUUCUACUGCUGCGGGGUUUUUUUGUAUUUCUUAAACUGCAGUGUUUCCUGGAAUGUAAACAUAGCUUUGCUUGGCUAUAGGUGAACCAUCGUUAAUGCUCUAAGUUCAUGGCACUUAAUUCCUUAUUUAACAUUGGAAGUAUGUGUUGAAAUAGUUGAAAAAUUAUAAUGCAUAUUAUGUUUUUGAAAAGCACAUGGUGUGAAAGUUGAUUCAAACAAGUGAACAGUAACUAUUUGCUCUCAGAUUCUACUUAGUUAUUGAUAAAUUAGAGCAUGGAGACUGGAUGAUAAAUUUUGUCAGGCUUACUCCAGCAUAAGAUAUUUGCACAUUGUUGUGCACACGGGGCCUGCAGAAGCGAUGACUUUUUUACCUUGUUUUUAACAUAGAAAUACAAAUAG